GGUGGUUUUCGGGUGACACACCACAGAAUUGGGCUUCCUCCCCUCUGGUUCCCGGUGUGUCACUUGGCAGCUCCU
rfam:Myotis brandtii contig314083, whole genome shotgun sequence.